GAUGAACGCUGGCGGCGUGCUUAAUACAUGCAAGUCGAGCGAACAGACGAGGCGCUUGCUCCUCUGACGUUAGCGGCGGAGGGGUGUGUAACACGUGGAUAACCUACCUAUAAGACUGGGAUCACUUCGGGAAUCCGGAGCUAAUACCGGAUAAUAUAUUGCACCGCAUGGUUCAAUAGUGAAAUACGGUUUUGGUGUCUCUUAUAGAUGGAUCCGCGCCGCAUUAGCUAGUUGGUAAGGUAACGGCUUACCAAGGCAACGAUGCGUAGCCGACCUGACAGGGUGAUCGGCCACACUGGAGCUGAAACACGGUCCAGACUCCUACGAGAAGCAGCAGUAGGGAAUCUUCCGCAAUGGGCGAAAGCCUGACGCAGCAGCGCCGCGUGAGUUGUGAAGGUCUUCGGAUCGGAAAGCUCUGUUAUUAGGUAAGAACAAAUGUGUAAGUAGCUAUGCACUGCUUGACGGUACCUGAUCAGAAAGCCACGGCUAACUACGUG
rnacentral:rRNA from 1 species